AUCUUUGCAAAAGUUUAAGGUUGAACCCAUGCGUUCAUUAAUAGGGAAUCAAGUGAAGUAAAAUAAUUCUUGAGCUGUACCCGCAACUGUAAGCUAUUCAACUUAUUAUUAAGUACACCACUGAACUUCAGGUUUGGGAAGGUUAUAAUAAGAUGCAAGCCAGGAGACCUGCCUUAGAUUAAUUUCAACUU
rnacentral:ncRNA from 1 species